rnacentral:tRNA from 1 species
UAGCUCAGUUGGUAGAGUCCUUGCCUUGCAUGCACAAAGCCCUGGGUUCAAUUCCCAG